rnacentral:rRNA from 1 species
UACGAAGGGGGCUAGCGUUGCUCGGAAUUACUGGGCGUAAAGCGCACGUAGGCGGUCUUUUAAGUCGGGGGUGAAAUCCUGGAGCUCAACUCCAGAACUGCCUUCGAUACUGAAAGACUUGAGUUCGGGAGAGGUGAGUGGAACUGCGAGUGUAGAGGUGAAAUUCGUAGAUAUUCGCAAGAACACCAGUGGCGAAGGCGGCUCACUGGCCCGAUACUGACGCUGAGGUGCGAAGGCGUGGGGAGCAAACAGG